rnacentral:rRNA from 1 species
AAUAUUGGACAAUGGGGGCAACCCUGAUCCAGCCAUGCCGCGUGUGUGAAGAAGGUCUUCGGAUUGUAAAGCACUUUAAGUUGGGAGGAAGGGCUUUAGGCUAAUACCCUGAAGUUUUGACGUUACCAACAGAAUAAGCACCGGCUAACUCUGUGCCAGCAGCCGCGGUAAUACAGAGGGUGCAAGCGUUAAUCGGAAUUACUGGGCGUAAAACGCGCGUAAGUGGUUCAAGUAGGAUGGGUUUAAAACCCCGGGCUUAAACUGGGAACUGCUUUCAUAACCUGUUGGCUAGGGUAAGGUAGGAGGUAAUGGAAUUUCCUGUGUUGCGGUGAAAUGCGUAGAUAUAGGAAGGAACACCAGUUGCGAAGGCGACUACCUGGACUGAUACUGACACUGGGGUGCGAAAGCGUGGGGAGCAAACAGG